AAAAUUAUACUUAAAGAGUUUUAUACACGUCUACCUCAAACUGAAAUGCAUACGAAAUCAUGUCAAUAAUUUAAGGAUUUGUUAAAACGUUAUUUUGUCAUUUUCAGACCCUAAAAUGUAUUUAGUUAACAUCCAAAUAUAUCCAAUGUUCGAAAGCAAACCCACUUAAAAUUAUAAAAUUGAUUAUAUAAUGUGUUCCAGGAUUUAGGUUCAGUAAACCAUUAGGGAAACCACUAUUUUUAUUGUAAUUCCAAUUGUUCAACCUACCUCAACUGAUAUGACUCUAUUCACAGAUUAUAAAGGCAAAGAGUCACGCAGUUUAUUGACUUUGUUUAUUAGAGCUCCGACAUGCCGAUAAAGGAGACAAAGCGAGUAAUAACAACAUUAAUUGUUUAUACUAAUUCGCAUGAGGAAAAUGUCAAUGUAACACAAUUGAUACAAAACAUCCGUGGUUUUUAAUAAGGGUCCUUAAUUUUAAUGAUCAUAGACUCCCAUCGAUAUCCGAAACAACAGAGGAUCUGCUUAUGCGUUACCAUUCUUUGAGAAUGAGUACCAGUAAUUGAAUGUGUAGAAAUACGAAGGACUAACAUCCCACGUUUCGCCCACGCGAGGGAAGACUGUGAAGGAAUGAAAUCAUACAAAGAUAUUUAUAUACUAGUUGUUCCAGACUCUUGCCAAUUAACGACCUUUCAACAACUUUAUAUAUAAGAGAAUGCAAACGCGUGGGGUCUGAACGCUGCGCCACAAUUACAACACGAAUACACUUCAAGUGGUAAAGUUACAUUGUAUUUGCUUAUAGAGUUAUGAUGGAACAAAUGUUGAUAUAUAAUUAAGGUAAUUAUGUUUUGAUUUAAGUAUAGACUAAGAUUUUAUAACAGCCUCAUAAAUAAUAGAUAUAUAGUAUACUAGCUGUUCCGCGCGUAAUUAAAAAA